rnacentral:lncRNA from 1 species
GCCCGCCCCAGAGGAUGCCACGGCAGCAGCCCCCGGUCCGCCCUCGCGCCCAGCCGGCCUGGUGUGGCAGCUGGUGUUGUGAAUCAGGCCGUCGCCAGUCUGAGAACGGCUACUUCACAACACCAGGGUCACCCCCUGCCAAUGCCAUCGACCCGGGCCCCGACGAUGACCCACAGCGAGGACCGAGCUCCCGAGAACACCUGCUUCCAGGCCUCCGUGCCCUCUGCAAGGACGGGCGAGCGCCCCCCGCCCCCCCAAGCCACAGAGCUGUCCUCCUUUAACCUUCCAUGGUGCAGGAACAACAGAAAUUACUGCCCUCAUUCUACAGACGAGAAAACUUACCCAGGCCACUCUAGCUACGCCCAGCACUCUUCCCCACAUUAAUCAACCAAUAGGCAUUUAUUAGGUGCCUGCUGUGUGCUUGGCACCAUGAAACCUGGUAGAAGACUCUUCAGGAGAGACCUACACCAGAGAUGAAUGUGAAUUUCUGGGCUUAGGGAAUGUGGAGAGUAGGGGAAGGAGAGAAGCCUGCCUCUUCUGAAUGGAGCCGCCAUCUUGAAAGGCAAAGGAGCAUUUGGAUAGUAAGAUGGAUCCAGGUAAAUAGCCCAGAAUAGAUGUGGGGAGAAAGCAGUGCUGUCUGCACUCGGGAAGAAGCACCAGAGGAUGGGGAGACUCUUGGGUGGUCUUGAGAACUGGACCCUUCAUGGAGGAGCAGGGGAUCUGCUGCCCAGAAUCAGUCCAUGGAAAUCACAAGUAGAGCAAGAAACUCAGAGCAAGAUGGGAAUGCUACCAGGAGAUGGCUGAAGGAGCAGUCGUUUGGCCAAGGGGCCUUCGAAGGAAAUUCAGUUCCCCAGGACUGCUGCUGGAUAGGUCCUAGCUGUGAAAAGCAGAGGCUAAAGUGUCAGAGCCCGGAAGGGCCUGUGAUGAUAGAAGGGUGGUCCUUCUCGGCCCCAUGCCUCAGUUUCCUGAACUGUAACAUGUCAUCGCUCAAGCAUCUCCCUGAAGGCUACCAUGAGGCUCAGGCACGGUGCCUCCAAAGCUCUGUAUAUGUGUGAGUUGGUAUUGUUGAGCAGAGGCAGAUCAAAGCCAGAGAUGCUCCAAAGCCAGAUUUGGCCCCUGGAUUCGGCCUUCUCAGCGACUGAACUUGCUCAAAGCCACUGACCAGCCCAAGGGGGACACCGUGAGGCUUUCUACUCUUCCCCUUGCUUUUGGCCCCCUCCCUCCGGUUAGGGGGCGAGGUGGACCUGGAAUCAAGAAGGCCUUCAUUCGGAUCCUGCCUCAGGGGCUUCCAGGCCAAAUCCCUUCCCUUCGCCUUCAAAAUGGGCUAAAACAUAUAUUCUAAUGGGUAUAAUAGUAGUGCCUUCCGUCAUCACAGGGUUAUAGAGAGGGUCAGAUGAGGCAACAUAAGCCAGUGUCCAUGGCAGCUACUACUAUUAAAGUGACCUUUUAUCUACAUUCUGAAUGAGCUUGUAUGUGACCUCUGAUCCUCCGUGAGAAUGUAAACUCCUUGAGAGCCAGGACCAGUUCACUAUGGUCUUGGAAUACCCAGAGCCUUGUACACAGUCAGUAUUUAAUAAAUGCUUUCUCGAUCAGUUGCUUGAUUCUUCU